rnacentral:rRNA from 1 species
AUUGAACGCUGGCGGCAGGCCUAACACAUGCAAGUCGAGCGGCAGCGGGACCUUCGGGUUGCCGGCGAGCGGCGGACGGGUGCGUAAUGCCUAGGCAUCUGCCUGUUAGUGGGGGAUAACGCGGGGAAACUCGCGCUACUACCGCAUACGUCCUACGGGAGAAAGCGGGGGCUCUUCGGACCUCGUGCUCACAGAUGAGCCUAGGUCGGAUUAGCAAGUGGGUGGGGUAAUGGCCCACCAAGGCGACGAUCCGUAACUGGUCUGAGAGGAUGGUCAGUCACACUGGAACUGAGACACGGUCCAGACUCCUACGGGAGGCAGGAGUGGGGAAUAUUGGACAAUGGGCGAAAGCCUGAUCCAGCCAUGCCGCGUGUGUGAAGAAGGUCUUCGGAUUGUAAAGCACUUUAAGUCGGGAGGAAGGGCUGUAGGCUAAUACCUUGCAGUUUUGACGUUACCGACAGAAUAAGCACCGGCUAACUUCGUGCCAGCAGCCGCCGUAAGAC